rnacentral:rRNA from 1 species
UACGAGGGGGGCGAGCGUUGUUCGGAAUUAUUGGGCGUAAAGGGUGCGUAGGCGGUUCCGCAAGUCCUGUGUGAAAUCUUCGGGCUCAACUCGAAGUCUGCACGGGAAACUGCGGGGCUUGAGUGUGGGAGAGGUGAGUGGAAUUCCUGGUGUAGCGGUGAAAUGCGUAGAGAUCGGGAGGAACACCAGUGGCGAAGGCGGCCUUCUGGACCAGUACUGACGCUCAUGCACGAAAGCGUGGGGAGCAAACAGG